CAGUAGCCGCGGGAAUACGAAGGGGGCUAGCGUUGUUCGGAAUUACUGGGCGUAAAGCGCACGUAGGCGGAUAUUUAAGUCAGGGGUGAAAUCCCGCAGCUCAACUGCGGAACUGCCUUUGAUACUGGGUAUCUUGAGUAUGGAAGAGGUUAGUGGAAUUGCGAGUGUAGAGGUGAAAUUCGUAGAUAUUCGGAAGAACACCAGUGGCGAAGGCGGCUCACUGGACGACUGUUGACGCUGAGGUACGAAAGCGUGGGGAGCAAACAGGAUUAGAUACCCCGGUAGUCCCUGUCUCUUAUAC
rnacentral:rRNA from 1 species